rfam:Sphaerobolus stellatus SS14 unplaced genomic scaffold SPHSTscaffold_167, whole genome shotgun sequence.
GACCCGGUAGCUCAGUUUGGUUAGAGCGUUGUACUUAUAGGGUUACCUCCAUCUGCUAUGCAUUGGUCGCGAGUUCGAUCCUCGCUCGGGUUA